rnacentral:rRNA from 1 species
CCCUGCCAUUUGUACACACCGCCCGUCGCUCCUACCGAUUGGAUGAUCCGGUGAAAUCUUCGGACCGUAGCAUUGUGUCUGGGUUUCCAGUCGCGACGCUGUGGGAAGUUGCUUAAACCUUAUCAUCU